GUCCCUGUAGAGCAAUAGAAAGCGCGUUGGACUUCUAAUCCGUAGAUCGUGUGUACGAAUCAUACCUGGGAUG